rnacentral:rRNA from 1 species
CUCAAAGAUUAAGCCAUGCAAGUGGUUACACUAACCCGACAGUUUAAAUAAGUGUUCAAUGCUUUUUCCACAUAUAUGAUAUAUACGGUCUAUUCGUUCACACAUACACACACACACCACCCGUGCUGAACUUAGAUUCCAACAUAUAUAUAUAUACACACAUUAAGUGAAUCACUGAAUUCUCAGUAUCACUUACGCAACUGCAGACAGCUGCUUAAUACAGUCACACUUGUCUUGACUUGGCAUACGCGCAAUGCAUGAAUAUAUACAUUACGUUUCGACUAUUUUCGUAAUUGCUCCUUUCGCCUAUGCACUUUACAUGGUCUUCCGUGUCGAGUGUAUCUGCACCGGGGGUAUUUUGUGAAAUGCGUCAAAUGUAUUCCUAUUGAAAUGCAAUGCACGGCUUACCUACACACACACAUACACACACUGUGAUUUCUCUGUUUCGCUUAUCUUUAUUUCAAAGAUUGCUACGCGUUACACCGUGACAACUUCUUUUAUUUAUGGAUAACUCAGGGAAAGUUUGGCUAAUACGUACGAGUAUUUACACACACACACACACACACUCUCACACAGUGUAUAUAUAUAUAUAUUGGUUGGUGCAUACAUUUUCUCACACAUCGUGUGUGUAUUCAAACAGUAUGUAUAUAUAUAUGACUCCCUCUACUCAGCACUCAAUGGUAGACUUUUGGUUUCACGCUCUGCGUAUUCCAGUACAAGUUUAAUCGCAACAUGAGAGACAUUGAGCACGCACGUGAUUUCGUUCCCUCGGGAACUUAGUCACAUUCACGCUGAGCAGACUUUGCGAAGUUUACUUUGCGAAGCAUGUCAUACAAGCAUCUACAGCAUCAAGUCACAGGGUUGGCAAGUGUAUUUUUGAACCUUCAAAGCAGUCACGCAUACGGAAGAGUAGUUUCUGAUCCCAUAGAAGGAGCACCGUACAAUGAGAGACCGCUCUUAGUUCUAAGGAACGCAGCAGGCGCGUAAAUUGCCCAAUGCUAGUACCCUACAAUUAUAUAUUGAUUAUUAUUAUGCAUUAUGCGCAAAUUUACAACAUACAUUAUGCAAAUCAUUGUAACACUACACACAUACACACCCUUUUUACUCUGUCAUCAUCAUACAUAGCAUAUCCUUGUUCGUUGUUUAUUUCAGCAUUAAAGCGUAUAUAUUAUUAACACCAUUAUAUACAUUCACUUUUUUACUGAGGCAGUGACAAGCUGUAACGGUUGAGUAUUUAAAUGACGAGUGUCUGGCAUUGCCGCUCUUUCGGGAGCUUGGCAAGUUGCCGACGCUUUGUGUGCUCAAUUGGAAUGCGGUGAGUUUAAGCAACUCAGAACCUUUGGACGGUGUUAUUCUCUGUAAUUUCACUGUUCAUGUAUCUGAAUUUCAAGUGGAGGGCAAGUCUGGUGC